AAUCAACGCUGGCGGCGUGCCUCAGACAUGCAAGUCGAACGAUUAAAGCUCUCUUCGGAGAGUGUAUAGAGUGGCGCACGGGUGAGUAACACGUAAGUAAUCUACCUUUGAGUGGGGAAUAACGCCCGGAAACGGACGCUAAUACCGCAUAAUGCAGCGGCAUCGCAAGAUGACAGUUGUUAAAGAUUUAUCGCUUGAAGAGGAGCUUGCGGCAGAUUAGCUUGUUGGUAAGGUAAUGGCUUACCAAGGCUACGAUCUGUAACCGGUCUAAGGGGACGGUCGGUCACACUGACACUGAAUAACGGGUCAGACUCCUACGGGAGGCAGCAGUCGGGAAUUUUGGGCAAUGGGCGAAAGCCUGACCCAGCAACGCCGCGUGAAGGAUGAAGUAUUUCGGUAUGUAAACUUCGAAAGAAUGGGAAGAAUAAAUGACGGUACCAUUUAUAAGGUCCGGCUAACUACGUGCCAGCAGCCGCGGUAAUACGUAGGGACCAAGCGUUGUUCGGAUUUACUGGGCGUAAAGGGCGCGUAGGCGGCGUGACAAGUCACUUGUGAAAUCUCUGAGCUUAACUCAGAACGGCCAAGUGAAACUGUUGUGCUAGAGUGCAGAAGGGGCAAUCGGAAUUCUUGGUGUAGCGGUGAAAUGCGUAGAUAUCAAGAGGAACACCUGAGGUGAAGACGGGUUGCUGGGCUGACACUGACGCUGAGGCGCGAAAGCCAGGGGAGCAAACGGGAUUAGAUACCCCGGUAGUCCUGGCCCUAAACGAUGA
rnacentral:rRNA from 1 species